rnacentral:rRNA from 1 species
GUCAAGUCAUCAUGGCCCUUAUGUCCAGGGCUACACACGUGCUACAAUGGGCGGUACAAAGCGGAGCGAAGCCGCGAGGCACAAGCAAAUCGCUGAAAGCCGCCCGUAGUUCGGAUAGGAGUCUGCAACCCGACUCCUUGAAGCCGGAAUCGCUAGUAAUCGCGGAUCAGCAUGCCGCGGUGAAUACGUUCCCGGGCCUU